ACCGAUACACUAUUUUGAUAAUAUUAACUCUGAAAUACAUGAAAAUCGAAUACUAAGAUUUUGAAAAUGCUAGCUUUGAAUUAACAGAAAAGAAAAUGUCAGCCCCCAUAAGAAAAACAAUUUGGAUGUCUAUUCGUUAUUUAAACGUCUGCAAGAAAUGUUUCUCAGCUAUAUCCAGAAUAUACUUACCUGGUUCUGUUGCAGUAGCCACUUUAGCUAGAUGUAAUAUUCAGACAAUUAUUCCGUUACCAAACACUGAUGAAAUCUCAAAAGAGGAGAGCUUGGGAGAAAACCUAUCGACCAAAACUUUAAUUAGAAACGGAAGUGUUUGUACAGUAGACACAGCUACAUCACUACUAACACAGACCACAACCAGCUUGUUACAGAUGGAGAACGAGCUGUACACAAGUUAACAGAUAUGUUAUCAUAUAAACUACAGGUUCUUGAUAAUGAUGCUGAGCUAGAAAUAGUCUGGGAUCUUGUUCUACAAUUUAAGUCAGAUGUAAAUGAAAUUAAAAGGAAGAAAGAGGAGAUGGAACAACUUUACUCAAGUGUUCAGAAACUAAUGGAUAUUUCUGCCGAAGUUGCAUUUAUUGCUGGAGCAGAGUAUGCUGGUACAUGUGCUGGUGAAAGACUUUACAGUUCUCAAAGACAAUUAGAAAUGACCCGUGCCUUAACAGCUGAAGCAGAAAAACAACUGAAUCAGGUGGAACUGAGCGACAUUGAAGCGACAACAAAGCACCAUGAGAAAAAGGAAAAAGAGAAAUCAGAGAAAUCAGAACAAGAUAAAAUGGACAAAUAGCCCUAAUUAUAUUUCUUAAUUGAUUUAUAACUAAUUAUAUUUCUUAAUUGAUUUAUAACAAUUAAUGUAUAAAGUAAACUGUAAAUAAAAAAGAAUCUAUAUUCAUUUUGAUUAAUCAAUUAAAGGGGCAUUAUGUAAGAUUUCCAUACAUAAAGAACUAGCCUUUCUUGCUAUAUGCAAAAUGAAUAUAUUGAAAAUUUCAUUCAAAUUAUUUGUUUUUGAGCAAAGUUAUCAAUGGUUAUAGUUUUGACAAGAUGUGUUCAUUGAUCAUAACUUUCCGAUGUUCUGUUGCCUGACAACUUAUCUUUGCAUGUUGUAAUAAACUGUACACCAGUUUGGUGCCAGUAAUUAAUCCAUGAAGAAGGUUUUGCUUGCACAUGACAAAAAUUAAGGACAGGUACCUUGCAUUGUUGAUCUUCAAUGAAAAUUUUAAAGCUUGAGUCCUAAUAGUAAGUGCAUGUACAGGACUAUUUGGAAGCUUAAAAUAGACGAAAAUGGACCUAAAAGCACAUGAAUGAUAUGAAUGUAUAUACAUGUAAGGUGAAUUAGAUUUUGAAAAAUUUAUUCUAAUUUCUAAUCAAUAUUUUGUUCCAUGAAUUACUCGAACAGUCCAAAUAAAACAUCUGUUGUUUACCUUUGCUUAGCCCAUUUUCCGCCUUGUCUUGUGGUUUGUGAAUCAGUCAUUACUAAAUACUUUCACAUUGUCUUGUAAGAUAUGUUUUUCUUUAUUCAAAACAAAUGGCGCCCGAAACCAUUGGAUACACGACUGGUGUACUGAUUAUAAAAUGUUCAUUUUGUCUUAGAUAUUAGAAUCCCAAAUUUUCAAGGCAAGAUAGCAACAUCAAUAUUGAUUGAAAUGGACCAAAAUUGAAUUCUAAUUCCUGUUUUAUUAUAGAUAAUAUUGAGUUAGAGAUUUAGCUACUUAGGUAAAUGGUUAGCAAGUGCGUGCUCAUUGUAUCACAAGGUCUGUCAUUGAGUCAACUGGCGUGGUUCUGAUUCCCGGUUGUACAUGACAAGGAGUAGCGUCGCCAGGCUAACCUGGUGGGUUUUCUCUGGGUCCUCUGGUUUUCUCCCAAUGCUAAAUACCCCUAUGCGCAAACGAAUUAUCGAAAUAAAAUUGAACCAUAUGUUAGUCCCAAAAUGACAUAGUUUGUGUCGUGUGGACGUUGAACCCCAUUUCUUUCUGUCUCUUCCCCCUUUAGAUAAUUUUCAGUGGUAGUGGUAUUCUGAGCCGUUUGUAUCCUCUUAUCCUAGAGUGGUGGUUCGCGAACCGUAAAUCAAAACUUCGGAAUUCAUUUGGUGACUAUAACAACAUUUCAUCAGACGAUUUUACAGAUUUAGAUAAAAACAUGAAGAAGUACUUGAUGAGAGAAUCACAAGGGGAGUCAAGUGGCGUGGUUUCGAUUAAAAAAGGAACCAUAAGUUAGUCUCUCUCUCAUUGGCGUGCUCGUAAAAAGUUCCCUUGAGAGUUGGAAUUCGAUAUAAGAGAAGGCCGCAGUGCCGCUGUCCGGGCAAAAUUUCCAACAUAGUACACUGUAUGGCGUAUUCCCGUCUUCAUUAGCCCAGUCGAAGCAGAACAAUAGGACGUUAAACCCCAUUUCAUCAACUUACCACUUUACGACUAUCCGUAAAAAUUAACCAACCCCUGCCUCUCACAAAUGACCAAAAUGCCACUGAGUUAGAGAUAUAUAAAAACAGUGAUGUCCAAUUUGAAAAAUAAUUUUUAAUCAUUAAAAAAAAAAACAAGCAGCUUAAACAAAAAAAUCUUUUUUUACAGAUCACGUACUAAUAAUUACCGUCAUGUCAAGUUGAAGUGUAUCGCAGAUCACUUUUGAUUAUAGGAGAAUUUAAAGGGACAAUUUGAAAAAUAAUUUUUAAUCAUUAAAAAAAAACAAGCAGCUUAAACAAAAAAAUCUUUUUUACAGAUCACGUACUAAUAAUUACCGUCAUGUCAAGUUGAAGUGUAUCGCAGAUCACUUUUGAUUAUAGGAGAAUUUAAAGGGACAAUAACACUCUUGCUGGCUUGACAG